GCUAAGGGCAAAGUAUUUGCUGAAGCUGUUCCCCACUACAGAAAGGGCUAGAAGGUGCUGGGGGAGGAGGGGAAGAGGAGAGGUCUUCAUCACAGUGAGGAUCAGAGAACCAUUUCAGGAGAAGAAUUACCUGGCUUGAUCAAUCAACUGCUUCUCCCCAAAGCCUUUGCUCAGUUUCAGUGGCUCUUGCAUCAGCCUCCCUGGCUGGCUGCUUCCUUUUCCUCCAGCAACCUGCAGUGCCUGCAAACGUACUGCCAGCUGCAAGGGAUGGUGAAGUCAAACAGCCCUUCACCCAUAAAGCCUGAGAGCUGGAGCUUAAGGCAGGUGUUAGCGCUGGACUCCUACAAGUGUCACGUACCACACUGUCACCUCACCACUGAACCCAAAAUUUGUAACUGUGUACACCCACCCACCCCCCCAACAAUGCGUUGCAUUACAUUGCCAAAGCAUGCUUAUGAUGCCAAAAUAAAAAAUAUGUGAAUAUACAUAUUUUCUGGUCAUCAUUUUAUAUGUAUUGAAUAUAUAUAUUUCUAUAUUGCCAUCUAUCACCAUGCAUAAAAAUGAAAUAUACCUAUUUAAUGAAAGCUGAAACUUUUGAAAUUAAAUAUUUUGCUUCAGCUGAAAUUUGAGAAAAGCACAACUACUGCAAGUCUUAGAAGCCCAUCACAAGGGCUGCCAACAUUGUGCUUUUUAGCAGCAGCAUCACAAUGACUCAGAUAUUAGCUCGGUAUUGAAGUUAGUACUUCAUGGUGGUAAUGAGGAUGAAUAAUCACACAGAGGAACUUGAAAACCCCCGCUGAUUAGCAAAUGUUUUUUCAUCUGCAGCUGAAUCUCUAGUUGCUGAAGCCAGAAGCCCUUCAUUGCCUCUGAUUUAGGAGCAGGUUAAAAAUAUCUUGGAGUAAAUGGAAAAGCUGUUGCAUGUAUUUUAGGGUCAGUUUAACCUUUUUCUCAUUGUGUGCCCUUCCUGGACUAAGCAAAGCACCAGGGGAUAGAGGACUACAAAGACAAGAACAGCAGCACCUCAAAACCCCUGAGCAGUUUGUUU